rnacentral:rRNA from 1 species
AGAGUUUGAUCAUGGCUCAGAACGAACGCUGGCGGCGCGCUUAAUACAUGCAAGUCGAACGAGAAGGUGUAGCAAUACACUUGUAAAGUGGCGAACGGGUGAGGAAUACAUGGGUAACCUACCCUCGAGUGGGGAACAACCAGCCGAAAGGUUGGCUAAUACCGCGUACGCUUCCGGAUCUUCGGAUUCGGAAGGAAAGUCAUACCGUGGGUAUGACGCUCAAGGAUGGGCUCAUGUCCUAUCAGCUUGUUGGUAGGGUAACGGCCUACCAAGGCUCCGACGGGUAGCUGGUCUGAGAGGACGAUCAGCCACACUGGCACUGCGACACGGGCCAGACUCCUACGGGAGGCAGCAGUAAGGAAUAUUGCGCAAUGGGCGAAAGCCUGACGCAGCGACGCCGCGUGGGGGAUGAAGGUCUUCGGAUUGUAAACCCCUUUCGGGAGGGAAAAUGGAACGAGCAAUCGUUCGGAUGGUACCUCCAGAAGCAGC